rnacentral:rRNA from 1 species
AGAGUUUGAUCCUGGCUCAGAUUGAACGCUGGCGGCAUGCCUUACACGUGCAAGUCGAACGGUAACAGGUCUUCGGAUGCUGACGAGUGGCGAACGGGUGAGUAAUACAUCGGAACGUGCCUAGUAGUGGGGGAUAACUACUCGAAAGAGUAGCUAAUACCGCAUGAGAUCUACGGAUGAAAGCAGGGGAUCGCAAGACCUUGUGCUACUAGAGCGGCUGAUGGCAGAUUAGGUAGUUGGUGGGAUAAAAGCUUACCAAGCCGACGAUCUGUAGCUGGUCUGAGAGGACGAUCAGCCACACUGGGACUGAGACACGGCCCAGACUCCUACGGGAGGCAGCAGUGGGGAAUUUUGGACAAUGGGCGAAAGCCUGAUCCAGCAAUGCCGCGUGCAGGAUGAAGGCCUUCGGGUUGUAAACUGCUUUUGUACGGAACGAAAAGCUUUGGGUUAAUACCCUGGAGUCACGACGGUACCGUAAGAAUAAGCACCGGCUAACUACGUGCCAGCAGCCGCGGUAAU